AACGGGAUAAGUAGCGUCCGCAUCAUAACCAUCAAGGUCACCACAUGCAAUAAAUGGUGCAAUCUCAUGAGCAUUGGUUGGAUCGAUUACACAUAAAGGUUUUGUUAAAUCGGGUUGAAAAUUAGAAGGGGGGUUAAAAUCUUCACAAACGACAAAGGACUCGAUAGAGCUAGCACGAGAGCUUCUUGGUUUAGCACAAGAAACUUUUCGAAACAUCAAACGAAGCUGAGAGUAUAACAGUGAAACAUCUCGUCCACGAAAAAUUUUUGCAACAAAUUUCCCACCAGGCUUUAAAACACAAACCGCUAAAUUAAAUGCAGCUAACAAUAUCUGUGCUUGAAUAUAUUCAUCUAGGUCGUGCAAACCAGUAACAUCUGGGGCACCAUCACUAACUACGAGAUCAGCCGGUUCAUUACCAAAGUGAGACAAAAUAAUUGAAAGGGUGUUGGGAUGAGUAAUGUCUAAUUGCAGGGUGCAUACCCCAUCGAUUGGUGCCAUGGGUUGAAGAUCAACAGCAACAAUCAUAGGUUUCUCAUCUGCGGCAAUGGAAGUAUCAAUGUUUUUGAGUAACUCACGAGACAAAACUUGAGACCAAGACCCCGGUGCAGCACAUAAGUCUACAACUCUUUUUGCUCCUUCAAAUAAAUUGAACUGUUCGUUUAAUUGGAGCAAUUUGAAAGCUGAGCGGGCUCUCCACCCUUGUUCCUUCGCCAGACGAUAAUAGGCA